GAACGUAUUUUUGGUUAUAUUCAGCGGAUUCGUGUGGUUUUAUUAGCUUUUUUCGCUGAAUAGCAGGAUAUUUACGAUGGCUUACUUCACAAUUAUAGGUAAGUUCCCAAUUAUAUCAAUUUUUGAAUAUCUUUGAUAGAUUUACAAAUUUUUUAAACUUGUUUCAGUAUUUCUCCUUCAAAAUUGAUGAAAAGACUCAUCGAAUUGAAAAAACUCCAUAUAGAAGGAAAUUAUACAAUUAAGUCUCUUAAAAAUAAAAUACAACACAUGAAAGAAGUGAUGGACUUUUUGAGACAAGAUCAACGUAUUUCUGAAAAUGCUGCCCAUCAUUGGGAGAAAUCUUUUGAUUCAGUGCCACAUUGAUGAAGAGACAUUUAAAAAAUGUAGAGAAUGAUACUGUGACCCUAAAAGUUCCAGUCUUGAGGGAAUUGUAAUAUUCUUCAAAAAUCAAGAGGGACUUCAUGUACCAUCAUAUGGAAUUAUAACGAUAUGUCAAUCAGGAAUUUGAUGAUUUCAACUGAAAAUAGAGUUUCAAGAGAUGAAAAUUUUCUCGAAGCAUUUGCAACAAUUCAAUCCCAAAAAUUUUAUGAUCGAGUUGAUGAUUUGUUCCCUUCCUUGAAAGAACAUUUUUUAUAUUCUUCAGUGAUUGGAAGACGUUAUGGCUUUCUUUUAGUGAAAAAUAUUGCCAGAUCUCAUUUUAAAAUUAGAAUAUUCAAUCUGUAAAAAGUUUAUACUGAAAAAUUCAAGGUUCUGCAAUUAGAAGACUUCAUCAGUUGAUUUUAUGCAGCAAUCGAUACUGGAUAUACAAUAUUGUAUAAAUAAAAUGAAUAGAAAAAUG